UACGAAGGGGGCGAGCGUUGUUCGGAAUUACUGGGCGUAAAGGGCGCGCAGGCGGCUCUGAAAGUCAGAUGUGAAAGCCCCGGGCUUAACCUGGGAAUUGCAUUUGAUACUCUGGAGCUUGAGUACGGGAGAGGAGGAGUGGAAUUCCCAGUGUAGAGGUGAAAUUCGUAGAUAUUGGGAAGAACACCGGUGGCGAAGGCGGCUCUCUCGGACCGUAACUGACGCUGAGGCGCGAAAGCCGUGGGGAGCAAACAGGG
rnacentral:rRNA from 1 species